UCUUCAGCAAACUGAUAAAAUCCAAAUUACCCCAACAGCUACCAUUUUUGGCAUCCUUGUUGGAGAUGAUAUCCCAUCAAAAUUGAUCUUGUGACACCCCCAACUAGAGAAUUGGACCAAAAAGAAAUCAAACACCAAAUACAUUCACUCUGUUCCCCAAAUUUUUGAAUACAUAUGCACCAAUAUGAAUUAUUGGUCCCAUCCCAUAAACAAAUGUUGACAUUUUUUUUGUUUUUACAAUUUUCAAUAAAAAAGUUGGUCCCCCAACAGAUUCCUUUAACCAGUUUUCCUCCAUGACCACCAUUAAUGGUCUCACACUGAUAAUCCUCAUCUCUCUCUCAGUGAAAACUCCUUCCAAAAUUUGGGCUUUUUACAAAACAAAAAAAUUGGAGUGGAGGAGGAGUACUGAGAGAGAUGUAAGGUUUUAAUGAGCAGUUAGUUUGAUUUGGAUCACUGUGUUCAACCAUGGAGAGGGUUUUUCAGAAAGCACUUGAGAAACAUUAUAGUAGGAGAAGAAACUUGGAAGUUGUGGACUGACAACAGUCUACAGAAGCAGAAGAAAGCUCAAUGAAUAAAUGCUAUAACUUUUGCACUGUAGUUUUUUGUGGCACCCUUUCCAGCCAACGGUAGAAGUUGGAACUACUUUAACUCCGUGUCCAGAAGAAAAAGAUGUUAGAGAUGCUUCAUGUAUUAGCACCGUUUCUAGCCUCCAAGGUUCUUAAAUGAAAUCCCAAUGCAUUCCAACCACUUCUCUGCUGCUCUGCUUAGAGUUUCCAGAUAGAUAUUCAAGGCAGCUCAGAAUUGAAUUGAAGAAGGAAAGAUCUCAGUUGUUGGGAAAAGGUGAGUUUUUAAGGUAAACAUACAGAAUACAAGUUUUCAGCUUUCAAGUUUCAACCAAACAUUAAAUGCCCCAUCUUUCUUAGAAAAUCUUGCAUACUUUUGGUUGGUCAGUAUUCCAUUCCCACAUCCAUACAAAAAUAAAUUUCAACGAAAGAGAAAAAUGGUCCCAAGGUUUUCCACUUCUUCUUCUUGCUUUCAAUUUGCACACUGCAAAGUCCAUCAAGUUUCAUAGCAUUAACCCAUGAGAAAUCCAGCCAUUUGGUUCAGAAAUUUUGAGACUGUUUUUGAGGUCACGUUAUGUAUAGUCUGUAAAUUUGUUGUUGCUGUACAAAUCAUUGUAUUAGACUCUUACUAUAUGGGAUAAUUGUACACUCUUAAAGUUCUCAAGUUCAUGGUACAUUAAAGUUUUUCAUUGUUUGUGGAUCUUA